rnacentral:lncRNA from 1 species
AUGUUCAUGUUAUUUAGUUUGUUCUUAAUGAUAUUAUUUAUGCUUGUAUGGAAAUGUUAGAAUAUUUUGUACAUCUAUGCGUCAUGAUGCAUUAAUAUGUCAUCCUAAAACGUCAUUUAAAAUAAUAUUCCGAGGUUUAUUUUUAAAAAAAAAAAUAGAAGGCAAUGCUUGAUGUUUGGAAACUUCGAGAAAGGUAGUGCCCUAACUUACUGGGUUGCAACUUUUCUCGUUGAAUUCGAAUAGUCAAGCACCCUUCUAAAUGAUGUUGAGUUUUCAAAACUUAAACAAUUAUUUCGAGAUUUCAAAACAUAGUGUCCUAACUUACUGGAUAUGGC